rnacentral:rRNA from 1 species
GACGUAGGGCGCGAGCGUUGUCCGGAUUUAUUGGGCGUAAAGAGCUCGUAGGCGGCUUGUUGCGUCGACCGUGAAAACCCGGGGCUCAACUCCAGAACUGCCUUCGAUACUGGAGAGCUCGAGUCCGGGAGAGGUGAGUGGAACUGCGAGUGUAGAGGUGAAAUUCGUAGAUAUUCGCAAGAACACCAGUGGCGAAGGGCGGCUCACUGGCCCGUAACUCGACGCUGAGGUGCGAAAGCGUGGGGAGCAAACAGGG